rnacentral:rRNA from 1 species
GAAACGACUGCUAAGACUGGAUAGGAGACAAGAAGGCAUCUUCUUGUUUUUAAAAGACCUAGCAAUAGGUAUGCUUAGGGAGGAGCUUGCGUCACAUUAGUUAGUUGGUGGGGUAAAGGCCUACCAAGACUAUGAUGUGUAGCCGGGCUGAGAGGUUGAACGGCCACAUUGGGACUGAGACACGGCUCAAACUCCUACGGGAGGCAGCAGUAGGGAAUUUUCGGCAAUGGAGGAAACUCUGACCGAGCAACGCCGCGUGAACGAUGAAGUAUUUCGGUACGUAAAGUUCUUUUAUUAGGGAAGAAUAAAUGAUGGAAAAAUCAUUCUGACGGUACCUAAUGAAUAAGCCCCGGCUAACUAUGUGCCAGCAGCCCGCGGUAAUACAUAGGGGGCAAGCGUUAUCCGGAAUUAUUGGGCGUAAAGGGUGCCGUAGGCGGUUAAAUAAGUUUAUGGUCUAAGUGCAAUGCUCAACAUUGUGAUGCUAUAAAAACUGUUUAGCUAGGAGUAAGAUAGAGGCAAGUGGAAUUCCAUGUGUAGUGGUAAAAAUGCGUAAAUAUAUGGAGGAACACCAGUAGCGAAGGCGGCUUGCUGGGUCUUUACUGACGCUGAGGCACGAAAGCGUGGGAGCAACAGGAUUAGAUACCCCUGUAGUCCACGCCGUAACGAUGAGUCCUAACGUUGGUAAAACCAGUGUUGAAG